UAGUAACGGCGAGUGAAGAGGGAAAAGCCAAAUUUUGAAUCAGGUGUCUUUGGCGCCCGAAUUGUAAUCUAGAGAAGUGUUUUCUGUUUGGACCAUGCACAAGUCCCCUGGAAUGGGGUGUCAUAGAGGGUGAGAAUCCCGUACAUGCAUGGAUCCCAAUGCUCUGUGAUACACUCUCAACGAGUCGAGUUGUUUGGGAAUGCAGUCAAAAUGGGUGGUAAAUUCCAUCUAAAGCUAAAUAUUGGCGAGAGACCGAUAGCGAACAGUACCGUGAGGGAAAGAUGGAAAGCACUUUGGAAA
rnacentral:rRNA from 1 species